GCGAGUGUAGCUCAGGGGUAGAGCAUCACCUUGCCAAGGUGGGGGUCGUGAGUUCGAAUCUCAUCACUCGCUC
rnacentral:tRNA from 1 species